UACGUAGGAUGCUAGCGUUGUCCGGAUUUACUGGGCGUAAAGCGCACGCAGGCGGCACUGUAAGUAAGGUGUGAAAUAUCCCUGCUCAACGGGGAGGGUGCACUUUAGACUGCAGAGCUAGAGGACGGUAGAGGGGGGUGGAAUUGCUGGUGUAGCGGUGAAAUGCGUAGAGAUCAGCAGGAACACCCGUGGCGAAGGCGGCCCCCUGGGCCGAACCUGACGCUGAGGCGCGAAGGCUAGGGGAGCGAACGGG
rnacentral:rRNA from 1 species